rnacentral:rRNA from 1 species
UACGUAGGGUGCAAGCGUUGUCCGGAAUUAUUGGGCGUAAAGAGCUCGUAGGCGGUCUGUCGCGUCGGAUGUGAAAACCCAGGGCUCAACCCUGGGCCUGCAUUCGAUACGGGCAGACUAGAGUUCGGUAGGGGAGACUGGAAUUCCUGGUGUAGCGGUGAAAUGCGCAGAUAUCAGGAGGAACACCGGUGGCGAAGGCGGGUCUCUGGGCCUUACCUGACGCUGAGGAGCGAAAGCGUGGGUAGCGAACAGG